AUGGUAACGCCGAGCGCCUCCUUCUCCGCCGCGCUCGUAGUCGAGGAUUUCCCAUCGUUGGAGAGGGAUGACAAGAUGGAGAUGCCACCGGACAAGCACCGGGAGGUGUUCGACCUCGCACAGUGUGGCGCCCGCGCCUUCCGGGAGCGCCGCUUCGACGAGGCUAUUUCAUUUUAUUCUAAAGCUCACAAUUUGAGAUCAGGAGAUCCGAUUAUCCUUAGCAAUCGAAGUUCUGCUUUCUGUUUGAUAAGUCAAGUUCUGAGGGAGAGAUCAGCAGCCGACUCAGAGUACCAGCCAUUGAAUGGCCUUGAUCCUACAACACAUGCAGAGUUAGCUCUGAAGGAUGCAGAGAAGGUAGUAACUACCCACGGUAAUUCUCCUAGGCCAUAUCUUCUCAAGGCAUACGCACUUAUUCUGCUGGAGCGAUAUCAGGAGGCACGUGAGUCCCUUCUGGCUGGUCUUCAAGUUGAUCCCCUCAGCCAUAUCCUGCAAACCUGCCUCAGUGAUCUGGAUAGAAGUACAAAUGCUGCAGCCAGAGCAAGAUGCCCAAGGCUAGAUAGGACUGAUGAUUUUGAGUGCACAUUGUGUUUUAAACUAUUGUUUGAACCAGUUACCACUCCAUGUGGGCACACGUUCUGUCGCUCUUGUUUACAUCAGGCAAUGGAUCACGGCAAUAAGUGCCCCAUGUGUCGGACAGUUCUUUUUAUUGGUCCAAGAACUUAUCCUAUAAGCGUAACAUUGAGCAACAUAAUUCAGAAAAAUUUCCCUGAAGAAUAUGCUGAGAGGAGGUCAGAACAUGAAAAUAUGACAUAUGCAGGCAUUGAUUUGAUGCCUCUCUUUGUUAUGGAUGUCGUAUUACCAUGCCAAAAGAUGGCACUGAACAUAUUUGAACCUCGCUACAGGCUGAUGGUAAGGAGAAUAAUGGAAGGGAAUCAUCGGAUGGGAAUGGUUGCUAUUGAUUCUGCGACGGGAACUAUAGCUGACUGUGGUUGUGAGGUGGAAAUUCUUGAGUGCGAGCCACUUCCAGAUGGACGUUUUUAUCUAGAGGUGGAAGGUUCACGACGGUUUCGUAUCUUGCGAUCCUGGGAUGAAGAUGGGUACCGUGUUGCUGAAAUUGAAUGGUUCCAAGAUGUUUCUUUACCAGAAGGAUCACAAGAGAGAAGAGAUCUAAUUGAAAGGGCCAAUGAGGCUUCAGAACUGGCUAGGGCGUACAUUAGGCGUACCAGAGAAACCAUAAGGCCUGUGGGCCGGGCAAGACACUUUGAUCUUGAGAGCAUUCCUGCACCACAGGACCCUGAGAAGUUCAGUUUUUGGCUUGUCAACUUGAUUAAUUUGAGGCCAUCGGAUAAACUAGAACUAUUACGCCUCUGUGAUACUCGGGAGAGAAUAUCUCUUAGCCUUAGAUUGCUGGGCAAUGCAGAACAAGGUUGCCGUCUACAGUAA
rnacentral:rRNA from 1 species